rnacentral:lncRNA from 1 species
AAAGCAAGGUGCACCUUGAAUUGAACUCGACGAAUUGCGUUUUGCCAGAGAGAUUUUUUUAGAAAGAUUCUCCAUUGGUAAUUCAAAAAUAGAAAGAAUAUAAAUAAAGGCGCAUACGCGGGAAGGGGCCCCCACUACUUCUUCAUUCAGGGGGGAGGGGGGGAGACUAGCCUCAUUACUUCCCACUGGGCGAGAGGUGCACCUAACCCACCUACCCACUCAUCAAUCACGGUGUUCAGCUGACUUGCACUGAUAGACCCCUAUUGUAUUGGAAUUAGGCGCCCAUCUUUUUUCGUUGGGAUUGGAUAUAGAUGGGAAAUCUAUAGAUCGUAGUAGUUUGCCAACCUCUCUAACUAACAUACGAUACAAUUUCACUUCACGGCACGGCCAAAAAAAAAAGAAAGAGUUUGGGGCUCCGCACACUGGGAAAAGGCUGACGCGACGGGACAACAGCCACUAGUUACAAAGCUCCAAUAAGGUAUCGAGAGGGCUAUCACAGUCAGGUGCGAAUUGAUUACCCCAAUUUGUAAACUACCCCUCUUCCUAUUUAGGGAGUUGAGGCGAAAAAUGGCUUGAUGAACCGUUCGCCACGCACCGGCCACAUUCACUUGCUUAUCGUAGAGGCUGUAAGUACACAGUGCCCCACAAGUAGGCUGCUUUUUCCGGAACGCAGUCCGAGAUAACCGUAACCGUGUAUAUAUAGAAAUAUAUCUUCGAUGCUGUCAUUUCGAAAUGUCCGCUUCAACCGCUGUUUCACCUCCCAAAGAGCA